rnacentral:rRNA from 1 species
UAGAGUUUGAUCCUGGCUCAGAACGAACGCUGGCGGCGCGCCUAAUACAUGCAAGUCGAACGAGAAUGUGUAGCAAUACACAUGUACAGUGGCGAACGGGUGAGGAUUACAUGGGUAACCUACCCUCGAGUGGGGAAUAACCAGCCGAAAGGUUGGCUAAUACCGCGUACGCUUCCCGGACUGCGGUUCGGGAAGGAAAGCGAUACCGUGGGUAUCGCGCUCUUGGAUGGGCUCAUGCCCUAUCAGCUUGUUGGUGAGGUAACGGCUCACCAAGGCUUCGACGGGUAGCUGAUCUGAGAGGAUGAUCAGCCACACUGGCACUGCGACACGGGCCAGACUCCUACGGGAGGCAGCAGUAAGGAAUAUUGCGCAAUGGGCGAAAGCCUGACGCAGCGACGCCGCGUGGGGGAUGAAGGUCUUCGGAUUGUAAACCCCUUUCGGGAGGGAAGAUGGGAAUGGGUAACCCAUUCGGACGGUACCUCCAAAANCAGCCACGGCUAACUUCCUGCCACCACCCGCGUUAAUACAAAGGUGGCAAGCGUUGUUCCGGAUUUACUGGGCGUACCAGGAACCUAAGCCGGUUGGAUAACCCCUCCGUGAAAUCUCCGAGGCUGAACCUNAAAAAUGCAAAAGGGGACUGUUUCAACCUCAAGUAAUGGAAAAGAACCCCCGAAUUUCCCGUUGCGCCCAUUGAAUUUCCUUAAAAUACAGAAAGAAAGCGGGGGGCGAAUGGGGGNUGAAGAUAAAUUUUCGUGGGCGCAGCGGCCUGAGNNGUUNUGAUGGGAGGCGUAUGUAUGACCGGUGCAGGCCGGAGCUGGUGGGCGUGCUGUCAGCUGGAUGGCGCGCGAUCNAGCGCCGCGCGGUAUGGCGCGCUUGGANCUAAUCGCGACGAAC